CCUUACUGCCUCGGUUUAAACGUCGCCGUCAACUCUCUCCAUUCAAUCCACAAAUCUAAACGGAAAGCAGGACAAAAGAAAAGAAAGAAGAUUUUGUUCUUCAAAUUUAAAACCCUAGAAUUUGCGAGAUUUUUUGUUUUUGGAUUUUGAUGGUGAAAUCGAAAUGGUAGGAAAUUCGCUAGCUGGAUUACAAGAUCACUUGAAAUUGGCUAGAGAAUACGCUCUCGAAGGCCUCUACGACACUUCCAUUAUCUUCUUUGAUGGCGCCAUUGCUCAGAUCAACAAGCAUCUAACAACUCUUGAUGACCCGCUUAUUCGUGCAAAAUGGAUGAAUGUAAAGAAAGCACUGUCAGAGGAGACCGAAGUUGUGAAGCAAUUGGAUGCUGAGAGAAGGUCAUUUAAGGAAGCCCCUAAUGGGCAGCGUCCUUCUUCACCACCGAUUCAUGCUAAGUCGUCUUUUGUGUUCCAACCAUUAGAUGAGUACCCGACUUCAUCAGGUGCCCCAAUGGAUGAUCCUGAUGUGUGGAGGCCUCCAAGUCGGGACACUACAAGUAGAAGAUCUGCAAGGACUGGUCAAGUAGGCACGAGGAAAUCACCACAAGAUGGGACUUGGGGUCGUGGUAAUACUAGAACAGGUACAACCGGACGUGGUGCGAAGGCUGGUGCUUCGAGUAGAACUAACACAGGGGUUAGAGCAUCUGCCGCUGGGAAGAAGGGUACUGGUUCGGGGAAGUCUAGCAAAGGAGAUUCAGCAAAUGGUGAUGCUGAAGAUGGAAAGUCAAAGAGGUCGCAGUAUGAGGGACCUGAUCCAGAUUUGGCCGCAAUGUUGGAAAGGGAUGUUUUAGAAACCACUCCUGGAGUACGGUGGGAUGAUGUUGCUGGUUUGACUGAAGCAAAAAGGCUUUUAGAGGAAGCUGUUGUUCUUCCUUUAUGGAUGCCUGAAUAUUUUCAGGGAAUUAGGAGACCAUGGAAAGGUGUUCUUAUGUUUGGGCCUCCUGGAACUGGCAAAACUCUUCUCGCUAAAGCAGUUGCCACUGAGUGUGGGACAACUUUUUUCAAUGUUUCUUCUGCUACAUUAGCCUCAAAGUGGCGUGGGGAGAGUGAGCGCAUGGUCCGGUGCUUGUUUGAUCUUGCAAGGGCUUAUGCUCCUAGUACAAUUUUUAUUGAUGAGAUUGACUCUCUUUGCAAUGCCCGUGGGGCUUCUGGUGAGCAUGAAUCAUCUAGAAGGGUAAAAUCUGAACUUCUUGUUCAGGUAGAUGGUGUAAAUAAUACUGGCACAAAUGAAGAUGGUAGCCGUAAGAUAGUGAUGGUUUUGGCUGCAACUAACUUCCCAUGGGACAUAGAUGAGGCUCUCAGGAGGCGACUGGAAAAGCGUAUAUACAUUCCUCUGCCUAAUUUUGAGAGUCGUAAGGAGCUUAUCCGGAUCAAUUUAAAAACAGUUGAGGUGGCUGCUGAUGUGGAUAUUGAUGAAGUGGCUCGUCGAACAGAGGGAUACAGUGGGGAUGAUCUCACAAAUGUUUGUCGUGAUGCUUCCUUGAAUGGCAUGAGGCGUAAAAUAGCUGGAAAGACACGUGAUGAGAUUAAGAACAUGUCCAAAGAUGAGAUUUCAAAGGAUCCGGUUGCAAUGUGCGACUUUGAAGAAGCCUUGGCGAAGGUCCAGCGAAGUGUUUCUCAAGCCGAUAUUGAGAAGCAUGAAAAGUGGUUUGCAGAAUUUGGAUCAGCAUAAGGAAUAUUGAAAGCCUUUUUGAGGAUGGAACAAGGUUACGGACAGUUUGAGUCAGCCAAAGCGAAAGACCCCAAUCAGAAUCUAUAUAGAUAAGUUAAAACACUAUUCGGGUCCCAUGGUCUGCCUUUAUUUCUAUAAAUACGUCCAACUGUAUUCUGCAACUUGCUGCGCCCCUUGCUGCACUCGUACCAAUGGAUAGUUGGAAUCUCAAUCCCACUCUCUUUUCUUUCCUUCUUUUCUUCUCUCUUCUUCAACUGUAACAGCCACUUCUUCAACUGUAACAGCCACUUCUUCACAAGUAAUUUUAAAUCCAUUCGAAGUUGCUGAUGAUAUUGUCGAUGGUGGAACAUGUAGCAGAUAUUGUUUGUUCGAUUAUAAAUUGUGGGCAAGGAACAUGUAAAGCUUCGAACAAUUCACUGCUUGGAUUUGACUGCAAAUGUAAACCUGGUUGGAAAAAGUUUCAGAUUGGACCUUUCAACUCCCCCUCUUGUCUGAUUCCUGCACGGUUGACUUUCUUUGUGGCUAGGGAAAUCCAUCACCACCUCCGCCCCAGCUUCUCUUCCACCACUAGCAAAUCAGACUAACCGUAUAUAUAAACCAUUAUACUUAUGUUUUAUGUUUUUAAUUACUUCAUUUUCAUUGCCAUGUUCGAAAAAAAUACAAUUCCAACUAAAGGAAAUGAGCUAUUCUUUUACUCCACAGGUUGUCAUUUUGUUUGGUGUGGUGAUGGAAAAUGUGAGUAAUGGAACUGGACAUAUCUGUCACUGCAAUCAAGGCUCAGAGAAUUUGUUUAAUCUAAGUUGUUUUAAACCUUCUAAGUUGGCUUCUUUUCUUUACCUCUCUUGAUCUUGUUAGGUUAAACAAAGCAUAAAUUAAUGAGCAGAAAAGUAUAAUUUUGAGGGUAAUAUAUCUUGAAAAUAUAACUAGGUUGAAGCUAAAUUGUAAUGAAUUUUAAAUUUGAUCAUCUAUUGCCAAUUGGUUUCAAAGUCAAAAACUUUUUUGAAUAAUGGAUUUUGUUGGUGUUAAAAGAGGUUUUUGAAAGGUGAUACAGAUCAAGAGUAUUGUAUUUUGUGUUGUUUAGCCAAGCCAAUAAUUAAU